AGUCGAGGGGCAGCACGUUCUUCGGAUGGUGGCGACCGGCGCACGGGUGCGUAACGCGUAUACAAUCUACCUUUUACAGGGGCAUAGCCCGGGGAAACCCGGAUUAAUAUCCCAUAGUACUAUUGAAUGGCAUCAUUUAAUGGUUAAAGUUUCGGCGGUAAAAGAUGAGUAUGCGUUCUAUUAGCUAGAUGGUAAGGUAACGGCUUACCAUGGCUACGAUAGAUAGGGGUCCUGAGAGGGAGAUCCCCCACACUGGUACUGAGACACGGACCAGACUCCUACGGGAGGCAGCAGUGAGGAAUAUUGGACAAUGGGCGAGAGCCUGAUCCAGCCAUGCCGCGUGCAGGAAGACUGCCCUAUGGGUUGUAAACUGCUUUUAUACGGGAAGAAACACUCCUUCGUGAAGGAGCUUGACGGUACCGUAUGAAUAAGGAUCGGCUAACUCCGUGCCAGCAGCCGCGGUAAUACGGAGGAUCCAAGCGUUAUCCGGAAUCAUUGGGUUUAAAGGGUCCGUAGGCGGGGUAAUAAGUCAGUGGUGAAAGUCUGCAGCUCAACUGUAGAACUGCCAUUGAUACUGUUAUCCUUGAGUAAUUAUGAAGUGGUUAGAAUAUGUAGUGUAGCGGUGAAAUGCAUAGAUAUUACAUAGAAUACCGAUUGCGAAGGCAGAUCACUAAUAAUUUACUGACGCUGAUGGACGAAAGCGUAGGUAGCGAACAGGAUUAGAUACCCUGGUAGUCUACGCCGUAAACGAUGGUUACUAGCUGUUUGGACCGAUUGAGGUCUGAGUGGCUAAGCGAAAGUGAUAAGUAACCCACCU
rnacentral:rRNA from 1 species